ensembl:lncRNA
UUCAAGUUUAUUGCCAUUAAAAUUUAUUUUUAUUUCCUAUAAAACUUGAAAUGAAAUUCUAACAAUUUCCUUAAAAGCUAUUGAGACUCAAACAGUUAUCAAUAUUACUAAGCAACAAAAGUGAAGAUAUGGCACCAAGUCUAUUUCGAAUCUGGUUUCUUUGAGGGAGAACAUAAGACAUGUUUAGAAGACUAUGGCUUCCAAACUGAGUAGAAUGCAGAAUUCAUUAAAGUCUUGUCAUGUAACCAACCACCAAGGAGCUUCCCUGGUGCCCUAUUCUUUUCUUGAGUCUAACAAAGAGCAACAAGCCUGUGCAGGUGGAGAAAACCCGAACGUGGGUCCUGGGGUCUCAGCACCACCCUCCCGAGGAAGCAGCCUGCCGGGCACAGUGGUGUCUGUGUGGAGAAGGCACGGAGGAGGGGCAUCCUGGAGAGAGAGGAAGGGGACCACCAUGCUUGCUGCUGUCUGUGCGGAGGAGGGGCAUCCUGGAGAGCUUUGAGAAACAGCCGGCCAGGCAGGCUUGUGUCUGCCCAGAGAAGGGCCAUCUUGGAGAGGUUCGAGGAAGAGGCCCACCUGCCAUGCUGCUGUCAGCAUGGAGGAGGACCAACCUGGAGAGUUUCGAGAAAGUGUCUCGGGAGGCACGCUAGUUAUGCCGCAGAGGAGGGGCAUCCUGGAGAACAAGGAAGCGGCUCGCCGGGCAUGCAACUGUCUGCAAGGAGUAUGGGGAUCCUGGAGAGCUUUGAGGAAGAGGCCUCCCUUGCACGCUACUGUCCUCCUAGAGGAGGGGCAUCCUGGAGAGCAUCCAGGUAGAAAUCCCCAGGCCAGGGUAGUGUCUGCCCAGAGGAGGGACAUCCUAGAGACCUUAGAGAAGUGGCCAGCCGGGAACACUACUGUCUUCGUGGAGGAGGGGCAUCAUGGAGAUCAUCCAGGUAGCAACCAGCAAGGCACACUGCUGUCUGCACAGAGGAGGGGCAUCCUGGAGACCUUAGAGAAGCGGCCAGCCGAGAACACUAGUGUCUGCAUGGAGGAGCAUCCUGCAGAACCAGGAAGCAGCCUGUUGGGCACGCUGGUGUCUGCGUGGAGGAGGGGCGUCCUGGAGAGCAUCGAGGGACCAACCAGCAAGGCAUGCUGCUGUCUUUUUGGAGGAGGGGCAUCCUGGAGAACAAGAAAGCGGCCCGCCUGGCUUGCAUCUUUCUGCUGAAAGUAGGGGCAUCCUGGAGAGCUUUGAGGAAGAGGCCUGCCUAGCACGCUUUUGUCUGCAGGGAGGAGGGGCAUCCUGGAGAACAAGGAAGAUGCCCGCUGGGCACGCUGGUGCUGGUGUCUUCAACUAGGAGGGCCAUCCUGGGGAGCAAGGAAGUGGGCAUGCUGAUGUCUGUGCGGAGGAGGGGCAUCCUGGAGAAGAAGGAAGAGGCCUGCCUGGUGUACAACUUUUGGCAUGGAGGAGGGGCAUCCUGGAGGGCAGGGACUUGGCUUGCCUUGCAUGCUGGUGUGUGCUCGAAGGAGGGGAACCCACGAGAGCUCUGAGGAAGAGGCCUGCCUGGCACGCUUUUGUCUGCAGGGAGGAGGGGCUUCCGGGAGAGCAAGGAAGAGGCCUGCUGGGCACGCUGGUGUCUUUGCGGAGGAGGGGCGUCCUGGGGAGCUUUGAAGAAGAGGCCCGCUGGGCACGAUGGUCUCUGUGCCAAGGAGGUCCACCCUGGAGAGCUUCGAAGUUGUUCUGGCUGUGGACGCUCUAGAUGCUCUGGAUGCUCUGGACGCACCAGUGAGCCCAUCCCGAAGCUCUGGUUCCUGGACGUCAUGGUCACUGGAGUUUCGGAGGAGAGUUGGCUCUGGGCUCGGUGGCCUCUCCAAAGGGGCAGCCAUGCUCCACACCAAGGACGGGGCACAUGUCGAUCCUGGUCUCUCCCAGAGGAGCAGGCAUGCCCUCUGCACCCUGGCUGGGGGGCGCAGCCUCCCCCGGAGCUGCCUCCUGUGUGGGUUCCUGAGGUUGGAUGUGCUGGACGUAUCACAUCUCCUGGAGGGCCUCCCCCUCCUCUGGCUCACUGCCGAUGUUGAUGAUGGUGGUCUCCAUGCUCUGGGGUUGACUGUCGAUGUCAAUGACGGUGCACUGCACACUCUGGGCCUUCUGGUCCCGUGGGCGGGUGUCCCAGGGCUCCUGGGAUGGCCCAUUCUGGCUGCUGUAGGGCAGCGAGGAUGGGACCCCAAUGUUUUCCAUGGCCGCCUCCCCAGGCAGGAUGUUGGGGGAGAAAGGUUCCCCGAUGGCACGCUCUGCCAGCAUGGGCUCCCAGGCUCCUGUGGAGCAAACGAAAGUCACCAUGAGCGCCCUAAGUGAGGUGUGCAAGAGGCCACGGAGCCCUGAGUGCACGGGCCCCAAGCCCGGCCUGACCUGAAGACCGAGGCGCAGUGCUCUGGCACCUUCUGUCCUGGCCUUUGCCAGAAGCGGGGCCAUUUCUGGGGAGAACCCCGGGCUUGCUCACAGCUGCGUCCCGGCCAGAACCCUCCUCUCCCAGUGAGCCAGCCCCGCGAGACAAACACGUCGUCCACACAGGCUAUUUUCUGUUCUUAGUGUGAAAUACAUCACAUAUGGAGAAGAGUAGAUAAACAUUUACGCACAUUUAAAAGAAUAAUGAGAGGGUGACAGCCCACAGGGGGACCCCAGGAUGUGAGUCCGGUGUGUCGUCUCCGGUCACAUCCUCCCCUCCCCAUCCCCUGGCCAAUAGAUGGCUGUGUGGCAGCACUCUCCCGUUUGUACACGGCUCUAGCGCACCACUCGCACACCGCACCAUCUAAACAACGCGGCGUUGCCUGUGGCCUGCUUCUGAACUUUGUGCAGAGGAAAUCACAGAGCCGGCACUUUGUUGCUUCUCUCACUGCCUGUGAAGCUGGCCUGGGACUGCGGCGUUCCCUCACGAAUGCUCCACAGGUUACCAUCUUCUGCUCAGCAUCCCAGUCGUUCCCCACGUGGGGCCAUUCUGAACUGUUGUCCAUCUCCUGCUGGGCUCAGGGGAGAAUUUCUCUAAGAUACACACCUAGAAUGACCUGGCGGGCCUUGGUUAGCUCACGCAGCUGAGGAAGGUCAUGCCAUCCCAAAGUGGCUACGUCAUCUCAAACCCACCAGUCACACAUGUUCCCAGGCCCCCACCGUUGCCAGGAAUGGACAGUGUGAUGGGCAGAUGGUGCUGCCACACGUGGCUCCAGGCUGUGCCUCCCGAUUCAUGACACAGUUAGCACUCUGAACGUGUUUAUUGGCUUUCUGGGUUUCCUCUUCUGCGAAGUGCCCGUUCAAUCAUUUGUCUACUUCUUUCUUAUUGAGUCAUAGUUCUUUAUGUAUUUUGGAUACCGGUCCUUUCUCAAUUAUGUGUUGCAAAUAUUUUUCCAAUUUUUGGUGUGACUUUUCACUUUUUAGUGGCAUCUUUUGAUAACCAGAAGUUCUUGAUUUUAGUGUUAUCUAAUUUAUGUAUAUCUUGCUUUAUGACUAGUGCCUUUAAAAAGAGCUCACUUAACAAAUCCUUACGCAGUCAGCAGAUUCAACCAACCGUGGAUCGAAAAUAGAGGCACGCGCCACAUAACCACAUUUUGGUCAACGACCCACCACCUGUGCCAUGGUGGCCCCAUGAGAUCAGUGCCACACAGCCUAGGUGUGCAGAAGGCUAUGCCAUCUAGGUUUGUGUCAGUACACUCUAUGAUGUUCACACGACGACGAAAUCGCCGAACGGCGCAUUUCUCAUCUCCUUCGUUAAGCAAUGGGUGACUGUACCCGUAUACUGUAUUUUUGACCCUUGGAUGCGGAACCCGUGGACAUGGAGAGCCAACUGUAGAUCUCUGAGCAUCUGUGAACUUUGGUAGUGGAGGGUCCCCCAUGGAGGGUCCUGCAACAAAUCCCCUGCUGAGGCAGAGGGACGACUGUAUACCCUGAGGACACAAGGAUGUUAUCCAGUAUUAUCUUCUAAAAGUUUCUACAGUUUGUCCUUUACGUUUAUGUCUUUAGUCCACAUGGAAUUGAUUUUUGUGAAUACUACAAGGUGGGGGCUAAUUUUAUUAACGUUAUGCCCACAUGGGUACCAAUUAUUCCAGCAGCUCUUAUUAAAACAUCUAUUCCUAUCAUCAGUCACACUCUUCAAAAACCAAGUGUCUGUGUGUGGAUGGAUUUUGUCCGGGCAGCGCUAAUCAGCUCCCUGAUCUCCACAUUUACUUCUGCAAGAAUACCAGUGUCUUUAAUGGAUGGAACUUCAAAGGAAUGGUGAGGCACGUCUUCCUACAUUGCCCCUUUUCUUCAAGAGUGUCUUGGCUAUUCUUGACCCUUUCAAAUACCACAUAUGGUUAAGAAUCAGCUUUUCAAGUUGCCUACAAACACAUAGACACACGCACACACAAAACUAGUUGGGGUUUUGAUUGAGGUCACAUUGACUCUAUUUGGGAAUUUUGACAUCUUUACAAUGUAACUCACACUCCAGGAACAAUAUAUAUCUCUUCAUUUGUUUGGGUCUCUUUCAAAUGUCUCUCUUUAAGUUUUAUAAUUUUCUCCACAAGUCUUGCACAUCUUUUGUUAGGUUUAUUCCUAGAGACCUCAUUUUCAAAAAAUGCUAUAGUAAAUGGUAUAUUUUUCCUUUUUCUAACAUUUCUUACCAAUAUGUAGAAAUGUCUAUUUCAUCCUCAUUCUUAAAAGAUACUUUAGCCAUGUAUAGAAUCCUAGAUUGACUUUUCGCCACCAUAUUAAAGGUAUGAUUCAACUCUGCUCUGGUUUCCACUAGUGUGAAUGAAGUUAGUUAAUCAGCAACUCCUUGGAAGAGAUUCUGCUUUUAUCACUGGAAGUUUAAAAAUAUAUAUUUUCUUUGCCUCAUGUGUUUGUCACUUUACUUACAAUGCAUCUAGAAUUUUAUUUACCAUGUUAGAUUUACUGGACUUUGUGAAUCUGUCAGUUGGUAUCUUACGACAGUGCUGGUAAAUUCUCAGCCAUCAUCUCUUUAAAUAGUGUCUCUUCAUGAUUUUCUUCUCUGUUUCUGGGACUCUGAUUACACGUAUCACAGACUUCAAACUCUAUUCUAUUCACUUUCCUUCGUAUUUUGCAUUUCUUUGUCUUUCUGUAUUUGAGUAAUUUCUCCAGUUCUAGAUUCUAAUUCACUAAUUCACUUCUCGACUGCCUAAUAUAUUGUUAGAUAUAUCAGUUAACUUUUUAAUUUUCUUGGUAUUUUUCAUUUGUAUAAGUUUUAUUUGGUUCUUUUUCAAAUGUGCUUGGUAAUUUAAAAACUACUUUUCUGUUCUUUUCAGUUAUUUUUACCAUUGCCUUUUAUUUCUCUAAAUGAAAUAAUGAUAGUUAUUUUGUGUUUCCAUCUGCUAAGUCCAAUACCCGCAUCUUUGUGUGUCCAUUUAUGCUAUAGUUUCUGUUGAUUCUGACUCAGAGUGCUUGUUGCCAUGUGGAGCCAGUCGUGUGUUAUUGAGAGCUGCUCAUUUUCUUUGUAGUUUUAUUUGUGAAAAAUCCUGAUGAAGAAGCCUGGGAUGAAGGUUGGUUGCUCAGAGAGGAAUUCUGCUCGGCAUCUGGGAGUGGCCAGUCAAGAAUGACUCGUUGCGAAUUCUCAGAUGGACGAUCUUUUGGACCACUCACCCAGCACAAAGUUAGGGACAGCCUGUUGUUCCAAAUACUCAGCAGCGAUUUUUCUCUUUUCCUUUUCUUUUCCUCAGCUCCACGGUCUGAGAUGGCUGAUUAUCCCCAAGUCCUUUGGGGUGGAGAAUUGGGUUCCUUCUGGUUCACCACUACAGUGAGGGCAUGGCCAUUUCAGGGGCCAAACUUGAGGGGAUGACUUACCGGCCUCCCCUUCUGGCUGUGCUCUGAGCUUGGUCUUCUCUUUCUCCUCCUGUAAAGCUGUGAAAAUCAGGGCUGGCAGACGCCCCGGGGCAGAGGCUUCCGUGCCCACCGGGUUGUCUUUGGGCUUCCUCUUUGCCUCCGUCCCUGGCCUGAGAACCCCUUCCUGUCUUGCGUGGUCAUGAAAGCCUUUCAGAUCACUUGCCCCACAUGCACAGUGCUCACACAUCCACGGUGCUCGUCUGUCUGCAUGUCCAUCCGUCCUGGGAAUCAACCUGCCCAUGACCGGAACCCUGAGGCUCAGGCGCCAUUUGUCUUCUUUUUCCCUCCCUUUUUCACUUACACCAUUGGUUUGUAUUUUAUAAUCCUUAAAACUCACUUAAAUCUUUCCGGAAUUAUGUAGAAGUCACACUACCCCUCUCAGCCUCCCUCUCCUUUCUAGAAGCAGGAGUCGCUGAUGCCCAUACACAGCAUGCUGAGCAGACUAAAGUUACGUGCUCGACCAGAUUGUGCACUGUAAAGAAAUGCACAACAACGAGACGUCAGUCCAGCAAACAUCAGCUGUUUGAGUGUUGAGUAUUUUUUAAAAUGAGGUGACACCAUUUCAGACGAGCUCUGGAAGGAUUAGGACAUGUGAACAAUGAAGAUUCUACCUGAAAUUACUCAAAACGUCACAGGCAGGACACGGAGGCUGAGUCUGAGCUUCUGUAGAAUGCAUCAGACCUUCAGUUUCACUUGCUAACCAAACUCUCCAUGGGACCUUGCUGUUUGUGGCCAUAAGUAAGCUGGCCGCCACUGCCCAUCAGACGUUCCACAGCUCAGCUAUUUGCUGAGCCAGCUCUCAGCUAUUUGCAGAUGGUUUGCAAGCUUAUGCUUCAGCCAAGUGUCCAGCUGCACGUCUUGGACCUACUGCUUUUUGGCACACAGAGCAGGUGGUGGGCAAGCAGGCUGGAUAUCAGGGCUAUUUGCAGACACUCCAUGUGAGCUCAAGCUUGUCCUCCAUUUCGCUGAGACAAGUGUCCUGGACCCUGGCCAUCCGCUGGCUUUCCGUAGGAAACAGUCAACUCUCUAGAGAACCUGGAGUAGGUCUCAACGUGACUCAAACUGCACAACAGCCUACCGAGAGCCAGAACUGCAUCUCCAGCACGGUUCCCUUCCCCAGGCUGCUUCGUUUCUUCUUGAU